rnacentral:lncRNA from 1 species
CUUCAGUAAGGAUUCUUACUUUUAGCUGAUUUCUAUCAGUUUUCGCCAGAUCCUAUCUGCAGGCUCUGGAGUGAGUGGGGUGUCCCAGUGGAUCUCAUCUUGGUCACCAGAAACUGUAGAGGAAGAAAGAUUAUUUCUCCUCCACCCUUUAUGGUGAGUACUUGGGCAACACUCCUUUUUCUCAAGAGUAUCUCAAAAAUGGAUACAUUUAUCAGGUUAUAAUUUCUCCACUGGGGCCACUGUAAUUCCACUUUAGCAUUGGUAAGAUUAACCUAGCUGUUCAGCAUUGAAACAAAAGUUUAUUUACCCAAGGCUUUAUACUGGACCCAGUCCAGCUCAGAACCCAGUCCAAAUAUGGCGGGUUUCAGACUUAGUUCAGAAAAGGAAAUGCUUAAAUGAAGGCUGAAAGCUGUUAACACAAAUGCCGUGGAACUAGGAUCUAAGAGGGACCUACCCAGGACCUUCCAAGGCAAGGAGAAAGCAGCAAGCUUAAGGGCAUCAACAGGUACCUGUGUCUGCUUGCUCUUUACUCCUGGGGGUGUCUGUGAUCUCUUUUGGUUUCCUCUUCUGGUGCUAGACCUCUUCAAGAUGAAGUGGGGCAUAUUAAAAUUUUUAAGAGUGUUUUUGGGAAAAUAUCAAUUUGAAUCUUACACUGCCAAACCAGAAGUGCUUAGGGGCACUCUGUGAACAGGCACCAGGGGAAAUAUUCCUGCAGAGAAAGCACAGAAACAAAGGAAGUGAUCGAUUGCCUGUAGCUUAAAGUCUAGUUGGCUUUUUGGUUUGGUUGUCAUUACCGUUUUGAUUUUGCAGCCUUAAAGCAUUUUCAGACUUAGAUUUUGGUUUGCUUACGUAGGCCACCAUGGCAUGAGAGCCCCUUCUUUCUAAUGGCCUCCUUGUUUAAUUGAACAGCUCAAAGAAAGUAUUACAAAAGAACAAAUAAAUACAAGUAAACUAAAAUAACAGUUCAAAAGAAGAAAGGUCAUACUUGGUUGAGGAUGAUCAGAGGUUUCAUGGAAGAAGUGAUCUCUGAAAUAUGUCUGAAAGAACCGGUAAAAUUUUAGCAGGCAGGGGAUGCUUGGGUGGCUCAGCGGGUUAAGCGUCCAACUCUUGAAAUUGGCUCAGGUCAUGAGCGAUUGGUUUGUGGGUCGGAGCCCCACAUUGGGCUCUGUGCUGACAGCAAGCAGUCUGCUUGGGAUUCUCCCUCUCCCUCUCUGCCCCUGCCCUGCUCACUUGCACAUGCAUGCAUGCACACACACACACACACACACUCUCUCUUUGUCUCAAAAUAAAUAAAUAUUUUUUUAAAAAAAUUUAGCAGGCAGAGGUAAAUGGAAGGAGGCAAUUGGUCCAUAAAAGCAAGUCAGACCAAACUAUUUGUACUAUAUGCCAUGGAGGUUGGCAGCUGCCGUAGGUGUUGAACAGGUGAAUGUUGAUUUUCUUUUGACAUUUACUUGGCUUAAGAAAAUAACUGAAAAUGGAUCUAUGCUAUAAAAAAUUAAUAACUCAAGCAAAAGUGAAAUUCUGGCUUUGCUUUACUUAUAGAGUGAUCUCUGUUGGUUUCUUGAGUUCUCAGCCUCACAGAACCAGCCAGUUCUGUCCAUUUUAUCUUUCCCUGCCAAAAAUCAACCAGCAGAGACAAUAGGUCAGAAGUCGGGAGGCUAGAAUUCAGCCUCAAUUAGUUACUACCGGUGUGACCUUGGGAAAGUCUCCCACUCAGCUGGAACUUCUUCAUCCAUUAAAAAAUAAUGAAUCAUUUUAGGCCUUCUUCACAACACUGGCAUGAUCACAUGAGUGAACAUUCUGCAGGGAUUCUUUGUAAGCAGUGAAGUGUUCUGCCAAAGAAAGACAGCUUUAUUCUACCAUUUUCCAUUGCCCCCCACCUCCUCUGCAGCAUAAUUAAGGCAGAUGUGAAAGUGUAUAAGGAUGUGGUGGCAUACCAUGGUAUUUUAUGACUCAGCAUUUUCACGUGUUACCAUGUGCAAUGACUGUUAGUAAGGAUAUAUGUCCCUAGCCUAUCUGGAAUCCAAAGUGACACUAUGCUUUUGUGCUCCUCGGCUAUUGCAGGUGGGGAUCAUUUUCUAUUUGCUGGAAGAGCUUUUAACUAGGUUAAACAAUUUGAAGCCAGAUGGGAUAUUGAGAAUUAUGCAGCCACUCUAAGCCCGAAAAGAAAUGUAGCCUAAGUACUGUGAUAUAAGCAAGACUUUGGGUAUGCAGCUAACUAUGAUGGAAAAAGUCAUUUUGUGCCCCAAGCAAAAAGAGAAUUAUGAAAGUAAUGUGCCAUCAGAAAAAAUGGGAUGGUUUCCACAGAAGAAAAAACUGAACCACAAAUAUAGUGUAAGCCCAUAGUUGGUCUAAGCAGUGAGACAUCUCUCUUGAUAGUGAGAAUUUGGAGAUGAUGCCGAAUUUAACAGGUUAAAAUGUUAAGUUACAAAAGAACUGUUUGGGAGAACUGAGUUAACUCAGGACAUAUUAAACCUCUGUCCUCCUAUUUCUGAUGGCCUUUCUGAGGGUUUCCACAUCCUAAAUAGACCAGCUGAAAUGAGAUAAACUGAGGAUAGUAUAUAGUUCUGGCCCUAAGAAAAACUGAGAAAUUUACUAAGCCUUUUUUUUUAAUAGUUACUUCUCUCCUUCUAAAACCUACCAUGAAAUUCUUUUCAUUGCCCUUGAUGCUUUUUAGACAUCUACUUCCUUUCUUUUCUCUUGUCUACCCCCCACCCCGACUUGUAUAUCUAUUUUAUAUUAUGUAUGGUCACUUAGACCAUCCUACAUAUUCCAUUUCCAUUUUUUUUAAUGUUUGUUUAUUUUUGAGAGAGAGAGAGAGAGAGUGAGAGGGGGAGGGACAGAGAGAGAAGGAGACACAGAAUCCAAAGCAGGCUCCAGGUUCUGAGCUGUCAGCACAGAACCCGACGCAGGGCUCGAACUCACGAACCAUGAGAUCAUGACCUGAGUUGAAGUCAGACGCUUAACUGACUGAGCCAGCCAGGUGCGCCUCCAUUUCCGUUUUAAAUCCUGUCUAGGCUUCAGAGUUUACCUACACUGGGCUGCAAUCCCUCUGGAAUAUUCCUUCUACUCAUAUGGUGAUGAUUGAUAACAAAUUUGUUGACGUGCCCUUCAGCUCAAGAAAUAUAUUUCUAUUUUAAGCUGGCCUUCUGAAAACAUACAUUAAUACAGUGGCACUUCAAGAGUAAGAAUUUGACUGUAGAAAACCAACAAAAGGGGAUUUUGCAGUAAGCCUUACAGAGGGUGUUUAGUUUUUAGUUUAGCGAUUUAAAGCUAAACUGGAUGAUAUCUGAUAAAACACACUUUAAAUAAAAAACAACAUACAUAUAGGUUAAAAGUAAAAGAAUUGACAAAGCUGUGCCAUGUGAACAGUAACCACACAGAUAGCUAGAAUAGGCAUAUAAUAUCAGACAAAAUAGAGGUCAGAGAAAGGAAUAUCACUGAGGACAAAGAGGGACAUUUUGUAAUGACAGAGUAGUCAAUUUCAAAAAAAAAUCACAAUCAAAUAAGUAUGCACCUCAUAAUAAAUCUUCAAAGUACACGGAGCAAAAAUGAUAGAAUUUAAAGGAGAAAUAGGCAUCUCCACAUUUGUAGCUGAGUUCAAUACUCCUCCGUCAGAAACUGAUAGAACAAUGAGAUAGUAAAAGGGCUGCCCUGAGCCGCUCCUUCCCCUGAUCCUCCUUUAGUCACCCUGAUUCUUGAGCCAGGUGUGUGUCAGAUUCUGUGAUGAUGGACAGUGGCAAUAGCCUCUCUUGUUCUACAUCCAUACUAUCCAGUUCACAGGUGUGUUUCAGUCUAUCCUUUUAGGUUCCAGCUCUUAUUUGGGGUCACAGCUUGUCUUUGCUCUCUUCCCUACAUUACAUCAUCUUUCCUUCCUGACUGCCUGUCCUGCAGACUGGCUCCAGCAUUAAAUGCAAAGACAGUAGCCUUACAGACACUGACUCACAAACUCCCAUGGUUGUCUAAAGGUCACAUCUGUAUAGCAAAUCUUGUACCCAAUCUAGAUCUGUAUUUAUGUACCUCUAUCUCUAUUUAGCUGCAUCUGUAUCUAUGGCCAUAGUUACAUCUACUUCAUACAUAUAAGCUGCAAAUCCUAAUUGAUUAUGGUAUAGAAGGCUGAUUGGUAUGGAAUUUGGUGCCGAGAGUGAUUCCAGAGGAAUAGAAUCUUUAGGAUUAGUUCUCUGAAAUGGUUUUGAGUUUUCUGGACUGGAUCCUCUGGUCAGAUUAGAUUUAUAGGCCUUAAUGACCUCAUUUCCAGGGGAAAGAGUAUCUUGGCCAUGCAUGGCACACAAUUUCACAAUGAUUACUUAAAUUAUCACCUACAGAUAACUGUAAACAUGUGCCUAUAGAAGCCAAUUGCUCUGGGAGGCCUAGUAAUUGCUGCCAUAGAACAUUCUAGUGAAAAUAAGGAGUAUAAUGGGGUUGGUUGGCUGUUAGGCUGCAGAAAUGAGGGAAGGGAAAAUAAUGAGCUCAGGGCUUUAAAUUCCAAGUUUAAGGUCUGCCUAAGGGACUGAAAGCUUCAAUAAUUGUCCUAAAGGAAACUCUUAACUGUUAUAGCCAUAAGGAAGAUAUUUCUCAAAAUCAAACCCAGUGCCUUAUCCUGGGGAUGCCUGAAUUACAAAUGCAGAUUGAGUUCUGAAUUCUAGAGGAUCUCUAUUGUUAAAGUUAGAUCAUUGAUAAAGUUGGAGUAGCACCUGAAUAAUUGCAAAGGGAUCAUAUAGGCAUAUUCCAGUGAAGCUUGGUACUUGGAACCUCAAAAUUCUGCCAAGCCUUCUUUGUCUAUAGAAGAAGACUUUGAACCUCUGCCUAAUGAGGUUAGUCUUCUCUUGGCUGAAGAACCUGUACCUGCUUCUCUGGAGGUAGUUAUUGGGUAAGGUACAACUGAUAUUCCUCAGGAACUACUCUCACUAUCUCUAUUUGCUUACAGACCUAUAACUAAACUCAGGACUCAGUAGGUCUCAAAGGAUGAAACACAAAGUAUGAUCCAUGAGGAGAUCUGAUAUACACAGUAUAAUGAUUUUUCCAGAACGCUGGGAAAUAUAUGUAGGAAAAGAUUUUUAAAGUAUAGGAUCGAGAUGGAAGCAAUAUAAAUUUACAUCAGCAUAGGGAUGCCAGGGUGGCUCAGUCAUUUAAGUGUCUCACUUCAGCUCAGGUCAUGAUCUCGUGGUUUGUGGGUUCAAGCCCCAUGUCAGACUCUGUGCUGACAGCUCAGAGCCUGGAGCAUGCUUCAGACUCUGUGUCUCCCCUUCUCUCUGCCCCUCCCUUGCACGCUGUCUCUCUCUCUCUCUCUCUCUCUCUCAAAAAUAAAAUGAACAUUAUAUUUUUAAAAAUUAUAUCAGGACAAAUGUAAUGAUAGGGCUCACUCAUCAGAGAUUCUGUAUUCAAAGCUAAAGGGCUAGAAAUGACUUUAACAGUUUUCUUGGUUAGCUAUCCAAAAUGUGGACUCAAAGGUGGCCUAUGCUAAAUUAAGUUGAAGUGCCAGGUUUUGGGUAUACUACAGAGUCAGUUAUCCAAACAUUAGGGUAAUUGAACUAUCUCACAUAUAUUUAGUGAUUGCUUAACGUAUGUAUUCUCUGCGCAGUAUCUAACGUUUAUAGCUAUUAGUUUGAGCUUAUGUUUUAAUGUUUACUUAUUUUGAGAUAGAGAGAGAGAGAGUGGGGGAGGGACAGAGAGAGAAGAGAAAGAGAAUCCCAAGGAGGCUCUGCACAUCAGUGCAGAGCUCAUUGCGAGGCUCAAACCCGUGAAAAUUGAGAUCGUGACCUGAGCUAAAACUAAGAGUUGAAAAUUGAGAUCAUGACCUGAGUUAAAACCAAGAGUUGGAUGCUUUAACCUGGAUUGAGUCACCCAGGCACCCCUAGUUUGAGCUUAUUAAUUACAUUAUUUAACUUUGAUAUUUGUGAUGGUUUGUUUCCUGUACCUAUCUGCUUGCGAGAAGCAUGUACUAGAACUCUCUAACCACUACGGCUUGUCUCUUUCUCCUGAUUCUAUCAGCUUACUUUUUUUAUGAAAAUAAUUCUCUAAUGAUAAAAAAGUUAUAUACUUCUUUCUUUAAGUUUGUAACUUGGCCCUUUCCUUUGGUCUCUCCCCAAAUAAAACUCUCUUUGCAAAGGAACAUUAAUAAAUAAUGGUGAUUUUAUUAAACCUAACAGAGGUCACAUGGAAAGGGAUUGUAUUUCUCAGUGUAUAAUAUUCAUUUCAAAAUUUUUCAUUAUAUAUUCCUCUCCCAAGUUUCCCUUCUUGACCUCCCAUACAUCAGGCGUCCCCUUUCCCUUCUCUCUGCUCUGACUCCAUCCUGUGUUACCACAGCCCUCUCCACUCAAUACCACUAAAAUCACCACUAUUCUCUCUUGAUUUAUUAUAUAUAGUAAUUUAGCUCUAUCCCAUAUUCUUACUGCAGACCAUAUGACUUAACCCACUACUUCAUAUAAAUUCUGUCUAUCUAAAGCCAUUUUGAUGAGGGGAGACAUAUUGAUUAUGCUCAGAAAGUGAAAGAUUCCCCAGCACCUAGGCCCCAUCUUCCUUAGGAGGCAUUUUGGCUUAUACAUUUAAAAAAAUUUUAACAUUUUUAUUUAUUUUUGAGAGACAAAGAGAAACAGAGCACAAGCAGAGGAGGGACAGAGAGAGAGGGAGACACAGAAACCGAAGCAGGCUCCAGGGUCAGAACAGAGCCCGACGUGGGGCUCGAACCCACAAACCAUGAGAUCGUGACCUGAGCCAAAGUCAGACUCUUAACCGACUGAACCACCCAGGCCUGGGCUUACAUAUUUAAUACUGUAAUGCUUUUCAGUUCAAAAUAAGACAUUUUUUUAUAUGCAGAGAAGAGAGACAAAAUUGUAUUUUUUUUCUGGUUAUCUAAAGAGUAUGAGUAACAACCUGAAUGAGUGGACUGGAUCUGUGUUUUUAUUUUAGGUUUUCAUCAAUUUCCAUGAUGUUUAAGCAUCUCUUGUAGGCAGCCACUGUGACAACUACUGGGUUGACCCAUCAUUUAAUCCAGUUCUGAUCCAAGAUCAUGACAAGAGAAAGUACUGAAAUUUCUUGAAAAAUCAAUGAAUUUUAAUGGCCUUUUACCUCAUUGAAUGAUUACGUUGACAAUGCUUCCUGUCCACACGUAGCUAUAUACAGAGAACUAUCCCAUUUUAACAUAAAUCAUAUAAUGUUUUAGACGAUAGGAUAUUAGUCUAAGGUCAAAAUUAAUAGUUACAAUUGUCUAAGGCCAACUAGCUCAUGAGGGCAAAAACAUGUAACUUUAAUAUUACAUCAUUCAUCGUUACCUCCAUUUCAAGUUUACACAUCUUUUCUGAUGUCAGAAAAUAAAAACUUAGCUGAUCCUAGGUUACGCCAGUCUUAAGCAGCACUAGCAUUCUGUGAGUACAUAUUUUCAGACUACAAACACAUUUCAAGUACAGAGUUGACAAGUUGCAUUUCUAAUCGUCCCCACACAGCCUGAAGAGGCUGACAUUAUAUAAUUCAUAUUAAAGUGCUUUGAAAAGUUAAAUGUACCGUAUAAGUAGACCUUGGUGUGCAGCAAUAUGAUGUCCAGCAAUUUUCUUUUAUGGCCUUUGGCCAAUUAUAUCUGUGUUAUCAAUUGACUGUACUCAUUGCCAGCAGAGAGCACAGAAAUGAACCUCAAUCUGUUACUCUCCUUAAUGUACUCUGGGUACUAGACCCACAUUCAUCUGACCUCUCACGUGUUCCCAUAAUCCAAUACUUUUCCUCCUCUGUGGGGCCAGGCAAGUGAAGCAGGGAAUACAAGAGAGGUUUGGGGCCAAUGAUGACUGUCUCUGCCCCUGUGUAAAGAUAAUGGUUGUUAUCCAUUGUUGUGGUUUUCAUGGUUUAAACACUCGUUCAAGGCAUUUCAAAUGAGGUGAUUCCAAAAGAUAUUUUUGCUAGCAGUAAAAUUAUGUAUAUGUAUGUAUGUCUUCCCAAACAUCUGCUUUGUAGAGUUAUACAUUGCCAUUGCUCAUAUUCAUGAUUUAAUAAGAGAGAGCUUGGUCUUGGGAGCUGAACAGGGUAGAAAUAAAUCCCACGCUUGACUCAUAUUGUAUUCAUAGCCUUGGACAAGUUGCUUAGCUUCAAUUGUUUCUCUUUUAAAGAUGUUAAUUAGAAAAAAAAAAAAAACUUACCCAACAGAGAGGAUGUGAGGAUUAGAGAUUAGUUUUAAUACAUGUCCCAGGCUUGGAGUGCUUAGCACACAGUGGAUCCUAGGUCCUUGGUCAGUGAUACAUAUCGCUGGGGCUGCCCCUGGGUGUGGAGAUCCCUGGCCGCAUAUUUGUAUGGGGCUUUUCAAUAGAAAUAAUUUGAUUUAAAGACAUUAUUGUAACAUAUAUUGAAACAGGUAGGGUUUAUUGGCUUGUUGAUGAAUAUUUAAUGAGAAGAAAAAAGGUACUUACAUAUUUAUUUUUUUAAGUUUAUUUAUUUUGAAAGAGAGAGCACGGGGGAGGGGCAGAGAUAGAGAGAAUCCCAAACAGGCUUCUCACCGUCAGCACUGAGCUCAACAUGGGGCUCGAAGUCACAAAUGGUGACAUCAUGACCUGAGCCAAAAUUAAUAGUUGGACACUUCAUCAACUGAGCCACCCAGGUGCCCCACUUACAUAUGAGUUUAUUGUCCAGCCAGUGCACAUAAAUAUUCUUUGUGGUGUUCAGAUACCAUUUUUUCCUGUUUGGGUAGAAGAACCACUUGUUGUGACCUUUACUUUCACAUGCACCAUCUUAAUUUCAUAUCUCCCACUGUGAGAAUAAAGGUGGCAACAGUGUUAUUAUAGACAAUGCUGUGCUCUUCAGAACUUGUGUUUGUAUUUUGUAUUGAAGCAUAGACUUCCUUGCCUCUGUAAUUCCCUAAUACCAUUCAUUUACUGCUGGUUCCAUCAUUACUCAUGACAGUGUAUCAUCCUUAAUAGGGCCCAUGAUCACUGACUUUCAAUGAUCCUCUCAAAGGCUGUUACUGACCUUCACUGAUAAUGACCACAAAUGCAUAUGAACCCAGAUUAUGCAGGGAAAUGAGACCAAUAAUUUAUUUCCUGGUCAUGUUAAAUUCAUCAUUUCAAAUUUUAUUGCAUACAAUGUAGAAGUAUAUAUCUUCUAUGUCACUCUAGGUCACACACGAUCACAGCUUUCCUAAAAUGUAAUAUUUUUCAUCUUUGGCCACACUGCUCCCUUCCACAUGUUGCCACCAGUGAGAAGGAUAAGGGAGGUGUUCAUGGACAGAGUGAACAGAAUAUCAGUUACCACCAUGGUUUAGGAAUUCUUAGUUGCUUAGAUCUGAAGCAUGAGAAGACUUUCAUCAGAAGGACCAAUGGUGUUUUAGCAGCAGUCCUGAAAGCCCUCAAGGCCUCUGAAGAGAUAGGGGUAGCCCUGCAAGAAGGACUACUCACGCAGGGUGGUGAGCUUGCAAGCAGAGUUGGUACAAACAUCCUGGGUGCCAGUGGAGCCCCCUCUACGCAGGGUAAAGAAUGACCACAAUAUCCUGCUGUGUAUUAAAGAAGUACCUGUAUCAUGGUUGGAAUGCAAAUGGGUAGGUACCAAGCAAUAGGCUCAUACACAUGGGCCAUGAUUUGGUAGUGGGCCUUCAGUAUCCCAAAGCCAUGCACUUAUCCCACACCCAGUGUGAAUGAGUGUCAGCCACAGUCAGCAUGUCAGCAUCAUUCCGGAGGUGUGAAUUUGCACCAUUUCACAAAACACUUACCAUAUUGGCAGUAGGAGUGAUAUGCUCACCAAGCUCCCCACUUGGUACUGGGACCUGGCCACUGGCUCACGGGAUGAUGCAAUAGGCAGAAUCCUCAAGCUUUUUGGCACAUCCAAUCAACCUCACAUGAUUGGGAGGACUAUAGGGUCAGAGGGCUCCCCAAAGGAAAAAAUGGGGACUUGGAUCCACUAGGUCCUCAGCUGGGCAUAGAGCUUCAGCCUAGAUGACAUUGCUGGCACAGUCUGGUUUCAGGUACCAGAAGGGGACUCAUAAAUUUAAAAAAAAAAAAAUAUUUUUUUUAAUCUUUAUUUUUGAGAGAGAGAUAGCAUGUGAGCAGGGGAAGAGCAGAGAGAGAGGGAGAUACAGAAUCUGAAGCAGGCUCCAGGCUCCGAGCUGUCAUCACAGAGCCUGAAGUGGGGCUCGAACUCACGAACUGUGAGAUCAUGACCUGAGCCGAAGUCGGACACUUAACCGACUGAGCCACCCAGGUGCCCUGGGAGUUAUAAAUUUUUGAGGAAGAAACUCUAAAGCAUGGUACCCUCUGAGGAGUAGCCAGAGCAAGGGUCUUGCUUGCUUAAGUCUAAGGUGGUAUUGCCAGUGGCCAUAACCAAUCUUUAACAAAGCUAAUUGAGGGAGCCAGCGUUUUAGUUGUCUUAUGAGCCAACUAUGAGCCAAAUGUAGGAUGGAAACAACAUGACUGCCUGUAUUUGUUCAAAAUUCUGACCAAAACCUUGCACUUGAACAAGGUUCAGCAAAAUAAGGUCCAAAACUCAGGAUUUUCUCGUAAGUCUUCAGCAGUUCUGUUCAUGGUUACGUCAGGCGGCUUACAGCAUGAAGCUGGAAUGUAAAUAAGGGGUGGCCUCAGCAAACAGGAAGACAUUUAAAGGUGACAAACUUAUCUAGGACUUUAUCUCUUUGUCUAUGUUUACUGUAGGAAAAACCACAGUGAGGAAAAGAAGUCACCAGACAGACAUACCAGUGAGCUAGUAACAUCAACAAAACACAACAGUCCCAUCAACUGACCUUAACCUGUUUCUUAAACCUUUAUGAAAUAUCAGAGAACCUCUUUCAGAUUCCAUUUCCUCAAUGUCUACGAUGCUUCUAAAGCUUGUCAUCCAUGGCAGUAGAAAUAAUAUACAAAUGUGAUGUGACAUUUUGUGUGAAAUAUCAUAGUACAGUAAUUGAUUAUCUAAGGUUAUAAGGUAUCCAGAAUGUAGUUUAAACCAAUAUCAAAAUGUGCUACAUAGACUGCUUAGGUUAGAACCAAACAGAAAGCUCUUUAAAAAAAAUGGCUUUUUGGGCUCUAGAAUCAUGGACUCCGGGAAUGGGUUUUAGAAAUCUGCAUUUUUAACAAAUCCAUUAGGCAAUACUAGCAAAAAAAAUGUGAAAACCCUUAGAUUAAGGUCUCAGAAAUGAUUAAAUUUAGCCUCAUCUUCUGGAGGUAAGACAUUAAUUCUGGUUUUUUCAGCUGGAUGCUUCAUAUGCAAUGCAGAAAAUAUCAGUGUCUGAUUGCCCCGGGAUGACCAUCUCUUACCAUUAGCCCACUGGACACUGAAGCCAUCCAGCCCCUCCCUAGCAUUGAAUAAGAAGGAGUAUUUUCAUAGAUAGAAAAACCCCAUCAUUGUUGUCUAGAUUAGAAGAUCAGGUUAGCUUUGGAGGGUUUAGCCAUCUGAAGUUGAGGAAUAAUGAAAAGCACAUGUAGCAAAGCCUCUUAUAGACAGAAAAUAGUACUUUUUAAUAAUUAAAAAAACAGUAAUCUGGGCAUUUCUAGAUUUAUGAUUUCUUUAAAUUAUUUUUUGCCUCAGUUGUUCCUGAGUGCAUUUAAAUGCUGUUAUCAUUACAAUAUUUCUUCUCUCUCCCUCUUGUGUUGGAUAUGUGUUGGUAGAAAUUGUUGGUUGCUCAAAACAAUUGUCUAAGCAUUUCUAAAAUCUUUAAUCUCCAUUUAAUAUCCAUUCUAAAGGGUGGAUUGCUUUUUUUUUUGUAAUGCAGUGUCUCCUAAUGAAUAUGUUAAACAUAACUUAAUGUUCAGUUCUGUGGUUUUCCAAUGUGAAAUUAUCUUAUGAGGACAGUCUCCCAAGAUGGGAAGUUAACCACUGCCUUAUUAUAAAUUCUUUGAGAUAGAGAAGCUGACCAUUAUUAUCUCCAGCUCUGGGCUCAGUCAUCUACUGGGAAGAAAAUAAGAAUAUGAAAAAAAAAAUCUGUUGGGAAUAGAAAAAGGCAAGUUCUUUAAGUGACUAAAUUGACAAUGUAGAAUCUCAGGCCAUUUUGGAAUACUCAGGUGCAUGAAGGCUAGAAUUACUGUAUAAGUUUACUUAUGUUGAAAUUUUUAUCAUCAGUACACUGUUAACCAUAAGAAAUCCCAUAUUUAAAAAAUUAAAGAAAUAGAGAAAGACACAUAUCAUAUGAUUUCACUCAGAUGUGGAAUUUAAGAAACAAAACAUAUGAACAUAUGGGAAGGGGGAAAAGAGAGAGAGAAAGAGAGAGAGGGAAACAAACCAGAAGAGACUUUUAAAGAUAAAGAACAAACUGAAGGUUUAUUGAAAGGAGGUAGGUGGGGGAUGGGCUAGAUGAGUGAUGGGUAGUAAAGAGGGCAAUUGUUAUGAUGAGCACUGGGUGUUAUAUGUAAGUGAUGAAUUACUAAAUCCUACUCCUGUAGAAUGUAAAUAAAAUUUUGAUGAAAAAAAUUCCCGGGGCACCUAGGUGGCUCAGACAGUUGAGCAUCUGACUCUUGGUUUCGGCUCGGGUCAUGUGGAGCCUUCUUGAGGUUCUCUCUCUCCCUCUCUCUCUCUGCCCCUCCCCCAUGCACACACACACACACACACACACACACAUACACACACACACACUCUCAUUCUCAAAAUAAAAAAAAUUAAAUCCCACCACAAAAAAAAUAUAGAUAGAUAGAUAGACAAAUGAAAUAGGUGAGGAAUUUUAUCUUCAGUCUUUAGUGUUCACCUACUUCUGGGCCAACACAUCUCUGUCCUUUUUUCUUUUCCCUGAGUAGGAUGUUGUUUUCCAGUAUCUGCCUGUCCCUGCAUCACCAUGGAAAAGCAUUGCAUAGCCACAAGUCUUUCUCACUGUUUACAGCCUUAGCAAUGGGUGUAAUUGACCCAGAAUUUACUUUAUAUCGAAUUUGAUGAUAGGCUUUUACUUUUUAAUUUAGGAACACAGGAUGAACAUGACAAAGUGGAUAACUAAAAGAUUUUCUUGUAGGUGAAUGAAAUAUAUUCUGUGUUCAUUAGCCACAGUAUGCCUGGCACUUAGCUUGGAGUUCAGGUGAGCCCAAAGAGAAUGCUGGACAUUGUCCUUUUAGAAUUACAGCCUAGAUUGAAAAACCAAAGUAAAACACACACACACACACACACACACACACACACACACACACACACACGUGCACUAACAAUCCACGACUCUAAUAAUGUGCUGAGUAUUAUGAAGAUUCAGAGAGAUGAAAGAGAGAACUCAUUUUACAUUCAGAAAAAGACAACAGAAAAAAAAGAGUAAUGUUUUCAUUUUCUAUUGUUUAGUUUAUCAGCCUGAGAGUAAACAUGCUUCUUUUCCCAUCACUUCAGUAUUUUUCAUGUAAUUUCCCACUCUUUUCCAAUGAAGUAAGACCCAUAGACUGCCUUAAAAUCUGCAUUUUAAUAAGCUUCAUAAAUUGAAUGUUCUGAUAAGAAUAAAAUAUAAAACAGUGAGAUAUAUUUUCCUCAACAUUCUUUUGAUAAAUAAAGUUAUUUAUUUUUUUAAAGUUUAUUUUUUGAGAGAGAGAGAGAGAGAGAGAGAGAGAGAGAGAUGGAGAGCCCACAAGUGGGGAGGGGCAGAGAGAGAAAGACACAGAAUCUGAAACAAGCUCCAGGCUCUGAGCUGUCAGCACCGAGUCUGACUCAGAGCUCAAACUCAUGAACUGUGAGAUCAUAACCUGAGCCGAAGUUAGUUGCUUAACUGACUGAGCCACCCAGGAGCCCUGGCAAGUAAAGUUUUUUAAAAUAUUGUGAUAAAUAUGCCUUUCAGACAAAACCAUUUCCUUUUCUGACGUAUUUCUUUUAUUGGUUAAUAUAUGUUAUGUCCAGGCUAAGGCUUUCAAAAUAUUUUUGGUAAUAUAAAUGUUUAAUGAAUCAGAUAAUACUUUAUUAGGCACAAUACACAAGACUCUAAUAAGAAAACAUUUUGUUCUAAUUAUCUUUACCAUCUCUUGGCAGGAAGAUAAUAAUUCUGAGCUCUUCAUAUUGCCAAAUUUUCUUUUUUUAAUGGGAUAUUAUUGGUACCUGGCAAAAGAUAGAACUAAAAGAAAAACAAAUACCGGAUAGGGGACAGAAAUUAAUGAGUUAGAGGAUAGAAAAACUAGAAAACUUAAUAAACGAAAAUACUUUGUUUUGGAAAAGAUCAGCAAAAUAGCUCAAACUAACAAAAAAAUAUAGCUAACUUGAUCAAGGGAAAAAAGGCAAAAGCACAGACACACAAAAUAGUGAUAAGAUAGGCAAUAAUAUUUGAAAUAGAAGGGUUUUUUUAAUACUAAGAUUCUAUUUUGUAGAAUUAUGUGAAUAAAUUUGAAAACAGGCUGAAUGGUUAAUUCCCUAAAGAAAUACAUGUGGCUCCAGGCCCAGAUGGUUUCACAGGUGAGUUCUACCAAAUCUUCACUGUUUCAUAUAAGGAAGGCUCAAUGUGCAGGUCCUUCCUGUCCUUUAUAAGUGUCACUGAUAUAA